CAGCCGCGCGGUAAUACCGGCGGCCCGAGUGGCGGUCACUAUUAUUGGGCUUAAAGCGUCCGUAGCCGGGGUGGGAAGUCCUCCGGGAAAUCUGGCCGCUUAACGGUCAGAAUGCCGGAGGAUACUCCCAGCCUAGGGAGCGGGAGAGGCCGAGGGUAUUCCCGGAGUAGGGGGGAAAUCCUAUAAUCCCGGGAGGACCACCUGUGGCGAAGGCGCUCGGCUGGGACGCGUCCGACGGUGAGGGACGAAGGCCAGGGGAGCAAACCGGAUUAGAUACCCGGGUAGUCCUGGCUGUAAACGAUGCGGACUUUGUGUCGGACAAGCUAUGAGCUUGUCCGGUGCCGGAGGGAAACCGUUAAGUCCGCCGCCUGGGGAGUACGGCCGCAAGGCUGAAACUUAAAGGAAUUGGCGGG
rnacentral:rRNA from 1 species